CCUACGGGAGGCAGCAGUGAGGAAUAUUGGUCAAUGGGCGAGAGCCUGAACCAGCCAAGUCGCGUGAAGGAUGACGGCCCUACGGGUUGUAAACUUCUUUUGUCAGGGAGCAAUUGGGUCCACGCGUGGGCUUAGCGAGAGUACCUGAAGACAAAGCAUCGGCUAACUCCGUGCCAGCAGCCGCGGUAAUACGGAGGAUGCGAGCGUUAUCCGGAUUGAUUGGGUUUAAAGGGUGCGUAGGCGGAAUAUCAAGUUAUGUGUGAAAGCCCGCGGCUCAACCGCGGAAUUGCACAUAAAACUGGUAAGCUGGAGUGCAGGAGAGGGAAGUGGAAUUCCCGGUGUAGCGGUGAAAUGCGUAGAUAUUAGGAGGAACACCAGUGGCGAAGGCGGCUUACUGGACUGUAACUGACGUUGAGGCUCGAAAGCGUGGGGAGCAAACAGGAUUAGAUACCCCAGUAGUC
rnacentral:rRNA from 1 species